UCCAUCAUCAAUUGAAUCGCCCAGAAGCAACUUCUUCGUCUAAGAGUUUGUUUGUUUGUUUCUCUACCGUUGAUUUUAUUUUGACUUUUGAAUUAGAAAAAUGCGAAAAGUUGCGGCGGUGAUGAGGAUCUGAGAUUGUCAUGCACCACUCUGAUGAUGCUUGCAUCAAUCUGUGCUGAUAAGUUUCUCAAUACCCAUUGAAUCUGAGCUUCUUCUUUCUCAAUUUCUCUCUGAUCCUCUCUUUGUCUGUGUUUCUAUCUGUUUGUUCUUGUAGUUUUCUGGUUAUCGAGUCGGACAUUUGAAGUUUUAGAUUCUAAUUUUGAUUUUGAUUUUCAAUGUGUUGGAGAUGAAAUUAAGGAACCAAAUGAUGGGCGUCUUCUUCGGAAGACGCAACCAUGAUGCGGACCGUACAGCGUUUAGCUACUGGGGAUUAAUUUUGGUUUCUCCUUAGAUUGAACCCACGGGAAGAUAAGCUUCAAUGAUAUAAGCAUAACCCAACCCUUGCCUCCAAUCGCUACAAGAAUGUGUGAACUUCCGCGAAUCUCAGAAUUUUCAGUCGAUAUGUUUAAUGUCUUUGUGCUUAAGAAGUAUAUGAUGGAUCUAUAGCAUGCGUGAGUUUGAAUGAAGGCUAUUAGAUUCUACAAUUUGAAAGGCUAUUAGAUUCUACAAUCUAUAGCAACGCAUCCUAUCCCUUUCAUUGGUUGUAUCAUUUAUUUACUACAUUAUGGUUCAUGUUUGUGUAAUGAACAUGUCAUUAUUUAGUUAAGGAGGUUCA